rnacentral:lncRNA from 1 species
UUCUGCCAACACAACCCUGGAACACAGAGCCAGACAGCAUUCUUUCCUUGCAGAACAUUCUGAAGAGGCUAAGAGAUGUGGAAACAAGGUUUACUAGAAACUGUGCAAGCUGUUUCAUAAUCACAAUGUUGAGAACUGGAAAGGAUGAUCCUUUUUAAAGUUGGGGAACCACUAGCCCAACAUCGCCAUGAGGGGAAAUAGAGGCCGUGUCAGCCCCAACCAUCAAAGGAGACCUUUGUGCACUGGGUUUGCUGUAAAUGACAGAAGCCACUUCAAAAGCCUCUUUGGAGCUGUUCAGUAAAAUGCUCAGGGAACACCUGGGCACACUCAGGCAAGAUAAACCACACAGACACCUCGCAGACAGACCUCCCAGGACAGAGGGACAGCAACAAGACUCCAAAAGCAACUUGAAGUUUUGGCAGCAUGAUCAUCCACAGAGUGAAGUUCAACAUUCAGUCAAGAAGAAUCAUUCUGAUUACUUAAUUGGAAGAUCUGAUACUUCUGAAAUGAAACAUUUCACAAACUCUACUGAAAUAAGAAAUACUUUUGAUUUAUUUUUUAAAAAAUGAAUCAUUGGUUAUGGAAAGAACUAUAUGGUCUUGCAGACAGGACAAAGUUAAAGAUGUUUUGCAAGCUUAACACAACCAAAUCUGAUUUGAGAAUUAUUUUGAGGCUUGCAGCUCUGUUUGUGGCAUAAAUAUAUACAUACAUACAUACGCAGGUAUAUAUGUAUGCAAAAAUGCUUAUUGACUGUGGAAAUGACAGUUUAAGUCACUCUGUAUUUCUUUUUUCCAUGAGUCUAAUAUUGAAUUACGAUGAUUCAAAGGCUCUCAGAGUGUUGUGCUAACAUCGUAAAUGGCUAAACAUCCAAAAAAGAAAACAAUUAAAACACAACGCACACACAAUUUUCUUAAAGUUGUGGAAAAUUAGGUAGGCACAGUUGAUUGUUUUGAGCUGGUAGAAAAACCUGGGCAGCUAGCAGAGGUCUGGACAACCACGGAAAGCCCACAGCAAGGACCACACCGUGAGCAGCCACCAGAGAUUUGGGAUGGUAGACUUACCAAGAGUGUCCACUGGCGGGGGGGCACACGGUGAGAAAGUGCAGGAUACACAAUUGACACAAAAAGGAAAAUAAUAAAGUCAAACUGGUAUUCAAGCAGCAGCAGUCUUACCUUUGUUUCAUGUGUUAAACAGUCCAUGGCUCGCCACCAAAUUUUCUAUUAGGGCUGAUUAAACCCACAUCCACAUUCCCCUUCUCUGCCUUACUAAUAUCUUCCUUCCUUCUCAUCUAAACAAAACCUUCCCAGUUAGUAAUGACCACCCCUAGAGAAGACAGCAAGGAUUUUUAAAAAGAGAGAUGAAGAAUAUAUACCCAGAAGAAGCCAAGCUUUGGCAAGAAAACCUUUCGAGUGUCAUUUACCAUCACUUGAAAAAUAUCUAGGAAAUUCCUAGGAAACAAAGCUUAGGGUGGGAUGAAAAUGGAAAAAAAAAAUUAAAGAGUUUAAAAUUGUAGUAUAACAGCAAAUACUAUGCUCGUAUAGAACUCUGUGAGUCUGUUUAUUACAUUUAUAACAUUGGCUUUGCAGCCUCUAGUGGAAAGUGAGAGAGUCAACUAUUUACAUGUCAGCUGUGCAGUUAACAUAUUAUAAUGUUCCAGUUCUCUCUCUCUCAAGAAAAGUCCCUGCUGGGCGCAGUGGUGUGUGCCUGUAAUCCCAGCUACUAGGGAGGCUGAGGCGGGAAGAUCCCUGAAGCCCAGGAGUUUGAGGUCAGCCUAGGCCACCUAGUGAGAUGCUGACUCAAAAAAAAAAAAAAAAAAAAUCAAGACUUCUUAGAUUUAAUGAUGUCAUGGUAAUAAGUGGAACAGUGACCAUAAUAAGUACCUAAUGAAUGCUGGCCAUUAUUAUUUUUAAAAAUCCCUUAUAAACUUUUUGUAGUUACAGAUGGAAACAGAAGGCUUUACCAGAAUUUUUUUAUUUUUUUUUUUGAGACAGAGUCUCCCUCCGUUGCCCAGGCUGGAGUGCAGUGGUGCAAUCUUGGCUCAUUGCAACCUCCACCUUCCAGGUUCAAGCAAUUCUCCUGCCUCAGCCUCCCGAGUAGCUGGGACUACAGGCGCCCGCCACCACGCCCGGCUAAUUUUUGUAUUUUUAGUAGAGAUGGGGUUUCACCAUGUUGGCCAGGAUGGUCUCGAUUUCUUGACCUCAUGAUGCACCCGCCUCAGCCUCCCAAAGAGCUGGGAUUACAGGCGUGAGCCACCACGCACAGCCCAGAAUUAAUUUUUAAUUCACAUUGAUAGUAACAUGGGAGUUAAAUGAGAAUAAGGCUGCUGAGUUCAUACGGUUGGGUGGCACACGUAGGUAAAUACAAUGUAAAACGCCUCUCAUUUCUGAUGCUCUCUCUUACUUUUCCCCAUUGGGUCGUGGUCAACUCCAAGACCUCCAAGGCAAUAAGCUGAUUAUCAUGGAGCAGGAAGAGGGCUCAAGAGACACUGUUCAGAGCCUGGGGUUACUGGGUCCGCUCCACACCAUCUCCCCAGCAUCCUGCCGCCUCCGUCCCUCCACCUGUCGGCAAUGCUGGCUCUGCCCCGUGCUCUUGACCCUGUGCACGAGCCCAGAAUUUCUCUGAGGGUGAGGACUGGCUAACUCCUUGCCUCGUGUUUACUUCUAGUAGGCAUCUGACAAGCUUGCCUUCAAGAAAAACAGGCACACUCAUCCACAGCCAUAGCAUAUCCCAAGCUGCUAAAAAAUGAUUUUGAGAUAAAACCUACCAAAGGCAAACCAUUGAAAGUUUCUUGAAGGAAAUAUUUAAACACCUUUAGAUUACAAACCACCUCUCUAUAUAGUAAGAAAGAGUCGAAGAAUGUGAUAAAAGGUGGUAUCUGCAGAGUAAGAAGGAAAGUGAGCCGCUCACAAAAAUCACAUCCGUGUGUGUCUGCCCACGUCAAGGAUGGUGGUAAAACCAUGCUUACAUGCACAAAGGCACUUGAAAUGCUAAAAGGAGAGUCCAGAGAAUUUUUAGAUCAAAGAUCAGAGUUUUUGAAAAAGGCAUGGCAGGAAGCUGCUUGAGAAUCUCCUGGAAACAUAUUAAAAAGGAAGUGAUUAUCUGGCUGCAUACAUCAGAUUCCGUCUAUCAGGACAAAAAAAAAAAUGUAUCCAAAACCUUCAUCCAUCCGAACGCGUGGUGCGUCAGAAGGAACUGCUAACACUUUUACAAACCGAGGGUCCGGGAAUCUGCCACUUGAAGGAGAUGAAACAGAUCCCUCGAGGUGUUCUAGUAGAAAGGGAAAUGUCAGCUAACCAGACCCCUAAACAACUGAAAGCCUCAAAUGACCAGAUUUCUUCCAGCCCUUAAGUGAGUUGUGUUUUCUUCAGUCCAUUCUCAGCCAUACAUAUGCCUCCUAGGAGAGCUCUCCAUAAAAGAUUCCAGUCCGAAUGUGACUCUAGUACCUUUCAGAAGGCUGCUUUCAUCCCAGAAAUAUACAAAUAGAACACCUGGUCCAAAACUGCACUUACUGAUUUUAGAAAAAAAUCUUUAUAAAGGACAGAAAUAAAAAUUAUUUUCUGGUGGUAUCUUGAAGUAACUAGAAAUUCUCUAGAACAUUCCAAGCUAUGGAUCUGACCGAUCUCGUGGACCUAAGUCCACCGUGUGGAAAAGACACGGUGCCAGAGACUGCUGGUGUGAGGCUGUGGCUGAGAAGACAGAUGCUUCAGAAACCCCUGAUCCCAACCUCCAUUCUCUCAUCUGUCAGGCCAAUGUGCCCUAAGAAACCACACAACUGAAUGCCAAUCAUUCCCAAGUCCCAGGGCCAGAUGCCUCUCUUCAUGUUAUGCACAGUCCAGCAUUCUAUGGGUCCCAUAUCUUCCUAUCCAGCCUUGAUAGGGAGCUCAUUAUCCUGCAGGCAGCCCGAGCCAGUGCUAGGAAGGUCUAAUUGCCAGAAACUUCUUUUGAUGUUGCAUUGCAAUCACCCUAUCAGGCUUCACCCAGAGGUAUAAAUUCUGCUAAUUGGGCAAUGCCAGUGACUUUGAGUGACAGAGGACAACCAAUUCAGCCUCCAUGCAGAACUUAGAUAAAAGGAUUAUCACUGUAGCCAAGAACUUAGGGCCUCUGAAAACUGAGUGGUGGAAGAGCUGAGGGAAAACAGCCACUUUUUCUUCCUUCAUCCUUUUCACCAAACUCCCAAACCUUUUCUAAGCCUAAGCAUCUUCCCUGGACCACCUCUCCCAGCCCAGGAAUCCUUCCUCUCUCAAAGCUGCCAACCUGUCAGUUAUGUGGAGUUCAGCCCCGAACUGUGACCAGCCUGCUCUCUUCCGGGCCUCAGACUUCAUGGAAUAUGGUAGUAAUUUUACUUAUAAAUGCUUACCUCUACAGUCACUAAAAUGUUACUAUGUCACAAACCCUAUUACUUGUCAAACACUAGCUCCCAGGUGCCCUGGUUAGAUAGGAUACAAAUCUGAGAAGCUCCAGACUAAAAUAAAACAUACGAAAGAAA